AUCAAAUUAGCAAAAAUAAAUGCAAUUGAUUUAGGAUCAAUAGAUACAGGCGGAAUUCCUUUAUUUGAUA
rnacentral:tRNA from 1 species